UUCGCAAUGCCCGAAAGGGUGACGAAGCGACGCCGCGUGCGGGAAGAAGGCCUUCGGGUUGUAAACCGCUGUCGGGAGUUAGGAAGUGCAAGGAUGUUAAUAGCGUUCUUGCUUGACUAAGGCUCCGGAGGAAGCCACGGCUAACUCUGUGCCAGCAGCCGCGGUAAUACAGAGGCGGCAAGCGUUGUUCGGAAUUAUUGGGCGUAAAGAGCACGUAGGCGGCUGUGUAAGUCGGUUGUGAAAGCCUUCCGCUUAACGGAAGAACGGCAUCCGAUACUGCAUAGCUUGAGUGCGGGAGGGGAGAGUGGAACUUCUGGUGGAGCGGUGAAAUGCGUAGAUAUCAGAAGGAACGCCGGCGGCGAAAGCGGCUCUCUGGCCCAUAACUGACGCUGAGUGUGCGAAAGCUAGGGGAGCAAACGGGAUUAGAUACCCCGGUAGUCCUAGCCGUAAACGAUGGGCACUAAGUAGAGGGGUUUU
rnacentral:rRNA from 1 species